GGCUAGAAAACAUUUAGUUAUUGACAUUAUAUCAAAUUUGGAAUAUGACAUGAAUAAAUGGCACGGAUUCAGAAUAAAAAAAAUUAACACAAGAAUAAACAGACUCAGAAAUGUAUAUGAACAGAUAUUUUUAAUAUAUUUAUUUAUUUUAAAGUAAGCAAGAAAUAAAAUACAAUAUUAAUCAUUAUUAUUUAAGCUAAUUACCAAAUCAAAAUAAAAGAGUCAAAGAUUGAAUUAUACAACUAAUAGAUCUAACAUAUCAGAACAAAGUUGAUAAUUCAUCAGGACUUUACAAAUUUUCCUGAACAGGAGAGAUUUAUUUAUUUGAAGCAGGAAAUCAUAUCUGGGGAAGUAAAAUUGAGAUAUUCUACUACAUUCUUCUAUUAUCUUUUACUUUCAUUUUUCAUAUAAAUCUUUUAUUAAAUCCUCCAAAAUUCUUCCUUAAAUAAUAUUUUCUUCUUAAAUAUGAUGUUAUUAAAGCAAAUGCCAUCUCUGUUUCCUAGUCUUUUUCGAGCGACUGUAGAUGGGAUAGGAUAGGAUAUGAGUUUAUUUAUCUCCCAUUACAUUUCUUGUAACUUUUCUGAAUAUCAAAGCAACUGUUCAAUUAUUUCAGCCCACUGAAAGGAAAUCAUUCAUGUUUACCCAACAGGAAACUGAACUCUAAUGUUUCUGUAUGUAAUGUUCCUUUCUGAUGUGGAGACAAGGAAGUUUGCUACUAGGAAUAAAUGCUUUUGUUGUUUUAGCAGUAAUUCUACUUUUUCUCUCCCAGAUAUUUCCAAUUUUCAUUCAGAAUUUGCUAAUUCUAAUAAUAAUAAACUUAAAACAAGCAAUUAUAAUUCUGUUUGGAAUUCUUCUAAGGUCUCACUGAACCUCACAAUUAUAUUAAAGAAUAAGCACAUAAAUUGCAUGGUAGGAACAGUUGCUUAUUAUCUUGAAGGAUCUGGAUACAAUUGACACUCCUAAUUUUUCAGAUGUCCAUGUCUUAAGGCCUGGCUUAUUAAUUGAAACUAGACUAAUAAGCACAUAAAACAAUGUACACAGUUAUGAUAAAUGGCAAAAUUAAGAGAAAAAUAUUUUUAUGUUUACAAUUAUAACUUUAUCUGUUUUGAUCAUUAUAUUUUCCUUAUUAAUCAGGGAAUCUCUACAUAAAUACA
rnacentral:lncRNA from 1 species